UUUUGCUUGCAUAGCACAUAUAAAAUCAGCUGUGAUAGAACCUGAUUUGAUAGGAUUGUCUGGGCUUGCUGCACUGUAGAAAAGAGUCAACCUGCUUUGUUUAAUCCAAGUUUUAGUUACCUUGAGAAAUACAACUGAAGAUGUAUUUGAAUGAAUAGAACACUAUGAGAAAAUUAUUUGUAAACACCAUGGUUCUUCACAGAAGAAAGGCUCUAAAUCCAAUUUUGCAUGUCUUUUUCAAUUUUACAUUUGUUUUCAUUUCAGAAGGAAGUUUGAAUUAAUUUAUAUAUUGGAGCAUGUGCAGUGAUCCCUAACAUCUGUCUUUUGCAGGGAAGGCUCUCCAGGAUGAGUUACCUUAUUUUGUAUGUCAGUUUUCAUAGGAAGUUUGUGGCUCUUUGUAAAGUUUAUCCAUAUUACUUUCUUAGCGGGGCUGAUUUAAAUGAAGUAAUUUUCUGUGUAUGUUGUAGCAUGUGUUGCAGGUUUCUCUGAAGGCCUCUCUUCCCCAGUGAGUUCAUUAAUCUCUUAGCAUUUCAGUAAUUAGGAAAUUUUGAGUGCUUUUCCCAGUGCUAUACCUCUUAAUGAAUUCUCUUGCAAAAUGCAUGUAGGUCUCCAUCACCAUUGUACAGGCUGAUAUAACCAUUCUUGAACUUUUUGUCACAUUUAUACAGUACCAAGCAUCACUGUCUUCUCCAAAUGCACCUCAGAGCAGGCAAAAAAUCCCAGUGAGAAGUCUGAAUGCCUGUUGCCUUCUCCCAUGACCUCUGUAGAGGUCUUGCUCAGAGGCAGAAUGGGUUGUCACCAGGAACAUGGUGACUCAGCAUCAAUCCAUCCAUAAGAUCCAUCUUUUAAGGCUGUAUUCAGGAUAUGAAGAUACUCGCACUGUAUCUACUAUAUUAAAUGUGAUUAUGUAAUCAAAACCUAAAGAGCAGCCUUGGAACUUGUGUGAAAAUGCAACAUGGAAUGUUAAUUAGCCUGAAGGUGAAAAUCUGAAGAGAAGAAUGACAGCCAAGAACGUUUGGACACCACAGAAAUUCAGUGUCCUUCUGUGGGGUACUACGGGAAAGUGCAGAAGAUUCAGUCAAGAUCACCAAAUCUCUGUGCAUUUGGUCAAAGCUCAAAUGAAGCACCAUCAUAAGAAAAAAGGAAAUUACAGAAGGAGUUUUGCUCGUCAACAUUCAACAUGGAAUUUGUGCAACAUAAUUGUAGUUCAUUAAAUAAUAAAUAUUUGAUUUAAAAAA